GAGGUUGAGAGAAACCACAGAGAUUUGCUGCAGCUUCCCAAUGAUCUUGACUUUGUUUCCAAGGCAGUAGGAAUCCACUUUGAAGUUAUGCAGGCUGAAGCAGGUGCCAAUAUGAAGAAAUUGUUGGAAAUAGAGAAGCGUUUACUUCUGUCAACAGAGGAUUUGAAAGUACAGCAUGGAAAAUCUGUUCAAGGCAGUAUUAGCGCUUCAAAGGACCUGCAGAAGGAAUUUGCCAUUACUGAAAAGAAGAAGGAAGAACUUGCU